CCUACGGGUGGCAGCAGUGGGGAAUAUUGCACAAUGGGGGAAACCCUGAUGCAGCGACGCCGCGUGAGUGAAGAAGUAUUUCGGUAUGUAAAGCUCUAUCAGCAGGGAAGAAAAUGACGGUACCUGACUAAGAAGCCCCGGCUAACUACGUGCCAGCAGCCGCGGUAAUACGUAGGGGGCAAGCGUUAUCCGGAUUUACUGGGUGUAAAGGGAGCGUAGACGGCCAGACAAGUCAGAAGUGAAAGCCCAGGGCCCAACCCUGGGACUGCUUUUGAAACUGCCGGGCUGGAGUGCAGGAGAGGUAAGCGGAAUUCGUGGUGUAGCGGUGAAAUGCGUAGAUAUUGGGAGGAACACCAGUGGCGAAGGCGGCUUACUGGACUGUAACUGACGUUGAGGCUCGAAAGCGUGGGGAGCGAACAGGAUUAGAUACCCCUGUAGUC
rnacentral:rRNA from 1 species